UUUACUUAUUUGCCCUGAUAAUUCAUGGUCUAAAACGAAAUGAGAAUCCUUACACUUGAUAACCUUUGUCACAAACAAACUAAUAAAAACAUUAUAUCUUACAGGAACAAUAUAUACUUGCGUACCAAAGUGUGCAGGAAUACGAAAAUGGAGACUGGUCUGAUGAUGAAGAGACUUACGAACAUGUCUAAGUAUGCAUUUGGGACAACCGGAUUUCUUACCACAUUGCAAAGACACAAAGCAGAUGUGCCACCUUUUCACAGUAAAGCUUCACCCUUUGUUAUGAAGCUAACUAGCAACUCAGCUUGGGUGUAUUGUAGCAAUGAAAGACUUGAAUUGAACUUCUUGAUAUAUUGUAUUUGUUCUUGAAAGUGUCUUUAAUAACUUCUCUGGUGCUUGUAUUUGUUAUUUUGAUUUACAUUUUCUGAAUCAUCUUUUUGUUACAUAUAGGUUAGGGAGAUCUAAGAAAUCUAAGUUUUAUUAUAGGGGGAGGGAGAAGAGGGGCGGAGGGAGAGGCUGAUGGAGAGGAUGGGGUAGAAAAUGGGUUGAAGCGUUUAGAGUCAGGAGCUGUGGGGAGGGGAGGGCAUUCACCAAAAAAUUGACCCAUUUGGCUGAGCUAAAUAGAGCAUGUUUGUAUAGGUGGGCGUAGUAGAAGGACAGGGGCGUGUGGAAGAUGGAGUAGUGUUAAGAGAAGUAGUAUUGCGGAGGUGAGCAAUACGGUUGUAGAGUAGUAAUAGGGGAGUUACUGAAGAAAGUGGGAGUGGAAAUGAAGUAAAGGAUGUUGGGAGAGGAGGAAUUUCUCCUGGAGGUUGAAUAUGGAUCUGAGUGGAUGAUGUGACAUUGAGGAGGGGAUAUUAUUAGCAGUGCUCAGAAUCGUGGUUUUAAGAGAGUUAGGUGUCGUCGACACUCGAAGGAUUAGUCAUCACCACGCGAACAAUGCGAGAGCGAAGCAGAAGCUAUAUGAAUGAGUGAAACAACAAGCGAGGACGAGACGCCAAAAAUAGAACAACAUUGCGAAGAUUCGAGGCAGAUUCUAUACAAAAAAUAGUCGACAGGACAAAACACAGAUGCAAAAAAAACGGCCUCUGACUCAGAGUCACGAAAUCAUCAUGUGACAGAGGGUGGCACCACAUGAUGGACCAAUAGAACCAAAAAGGAAAUCACGAGUGCGAAACAACAAGCAGUUCUAAUCGAUCGCAAUAUAGAUCAUAUUGUAUCAAUCUAGGAACAAGAACAAGAAACUCGGGUGGCAGGUAGAAAAAGUUAAAGUUACGGGUACCUUUCCAACUAUAAAAUAACCAGCAAGGGCGUGACCGGAAAGGACGCUCAGUAAUGGAAAAUGUGGACUAGGUUUCAGUAGACAUUUUCGUCUCGGCAAAUAAAAUGACAAAUUAUUAUUAUUAUUUUUUUUUUGUCAUGUCUAAGUCUUAGCUAAGGUGGCAGAGGGCAAGAUUUCAUGUAGACUUUCAUUGCAGCUGUUUGUGUAAAUAUAAUAACAUAUAAUUAUAAUAAGUUUUGUUUUAUUUUAUGGUGUUUCAGUAUCUAUUCUAUUUCAUUAUUUUAUUUAUCUUGGUAAGUCCGAGGUAAAUAAAAUAACAGUACAAACUCCCAACGCGUCAAGACUUUGGCUGAUAACGUCUUUUAUCCGCUGAAUAGCUUGUCAAUGCACUGCUAGGCAUAGGGCAAGGGAGGGAAAAACUAUUGAACAUUUCAUUCCACACGGUACACUCAAGUAUCAACAAUAACAUUACAGCACAAAUGACCUCCAAAGACUUGUCACCCCCCCCCCCUCUUUCUCUCUUUUGGGCCUCAAGAGAGUUAACAUGCUCCUUGGAAAUAAAGACAUGACUAUUUCUUUUUAACUAUAUAUAGAUGGGCACUAGAAUCAUAAAGAUGUAUCACUUCAUCCUCGACAUACCAUCGUGAUGAAACAUAAUGGACAGGGACUAGAAAUGAAAGUUAAUAAGGUGGCCGUGCUAUUCUGGAAUACAGUUUGGAUUAGGAAGACAACAAAGAUUUUAUGACCAUAUAAUGAAACAACUUAAUGAUCAAAUCUAAAUGAUGUUGUGACAAUAUUGUGUUAAUGGUUAAUGAUUGAAAUAGAUAUUUUGCUAGACAUCAAGGUCAUAUAUCUAUAUUGUGUUAGAUAGGUCUUCUUUGUUAACAGCUAAUGAAAAUAGAUAGGUUAAGUUUAUGUGUAAUUAAAUAAUUAAGUGUUUUCUAAGAUUGAUAGCUCAGUGGAAGUGACAAUGACGAGUCCUGUUGUUUUCUAACGGAGCUUAAGACUUUAUUGCUUUUGGCAUGAUUAUUAUUCACAUAUUUACAUAGAUAUAGAGCUUGAGUUGUGUUUCUUAUAAUUAACUAUUUGAUUUUCUGAGGAUUAGUUUUUAUCUAUAUCUAAUUAAUUUGUUAACUUAGAGAUAUUGAAUAAUUAAUUACUUUUAUAAUGAUUGCUAAUUCGUUUUAUAAUAUUCAUUAGAUAUGAUCCAGUUUUGAAUGUUGUGCAAUUUUUUAUCAAGUAUCAUGACUGAUAAUUAUAUAACGGAGCUAUAACUGUCUAGUUGUAUGGAAAGAGUCAAGAACCAAAAUAAUGUAUUAUGUUUUUUGUUUCACAUAAACUUUAGUAUUGUAUUUUUAUUAUAUUGCACUGAUAAUAUUCAGUUAAUAAAUUCACUGAUUUUUUUAAA